GACGAACGCUGGCGGCAUGCCUAAUACAUGCAAGUCGAGCGAACAGAUGAAGUGCUUGCACUUCCGACGUUAGCGGCGAACGGGUGAGUAACACGUAAGGAAUCUACCUAUAAGCGGGGGAUAACAUUCGGAAACGGGUGCUAAUACCGCAUAAUAUCUUCUUCCGCAUGGAAGAAGAUUGAAAGACGGCUCUGCUGUCACUUAUAGAUGACCUUGCGGUGCAUUAGUUAGUUGGUGGGGUAACGGCCUACCAAGACGAUGAUGCAUAGCCGACCUGGGGGGGUGAUCGGCCAAAUUGGGACGGAGACACGGCCCAAACUCCUACGGGAGGCAGCAGUAGGGAAGCUUCCGCAAUGGGCGAAAGCCGGACGGAGCAAUGCCGCGUGAGUGAAGAAGGCCUUCGGGUCGUAAAACUCUGUUAUAAGAGAAGAACAAAUUGUAGAGUAACUGCUACAGUCUUGACGGUAUCUUAUCAGAAAGCCACGGCUAACUACGUGCCAGCCGCCGCCGUAA
rnacentral:rRNA from 1 species